AUGCCAUCUCUUCUCUUCCGACUUGUGCGAGCCUUGUUGAAUUUGGUCAAGCAAACAUUGUACCCGGCCGCGAAGCCUGGACGUGGUGUCCCCGUCCUUGGCGGUAGCGACGCCGGCUUCAAGAGGCCGGCGGUGCUCACCUGCCCCCGGUACAUCAUCUCCGUGAUCUGUGAAUUCGCCAUGUUGAUCUGCACCACCGGGACGCUGUGCUACUACUUCACCUACGACUUGCCACCUGAGUUCUCCGUCCACUUGACGCCGAUCCCGAGCAACAACAGCGUGGGGGCUCCGGCCACGACGACGUCCAUCCCCCGGGCCUUCGACAUCGUCCUGCACGCCGGCAACCGCCGCGCUAGGGAGAGGUGCCACCACCACGGGGAGGGAGUGGUGACGUACGGCGGCUACACCGUGGCGUCGGGCCACGCGCCCGACUUCUGUGUGCCGUGGAAGGGGGCGCGCGAGGUGCCGUUCGAGCUGGCGUGGGGCUGGGACGACGGCGUUUACCUGCCCGAGCACCUGCGCGGCCGCAUAGCGGUGGCGGAGAGAGUCUGCGCCGUGGAGUUCGAGGUCCAGGUGAGACUCCUCCAGGGAGGCAACGCCCGCUCCGGCACGGGCACGCCGACGUGGAUGUGGUGCAAAGCGAGGAUCGGUGGGGCGCCUGGCGCCGUCACGCCCUGCACCGUGUUCGCUCCACAGAACUGGUUUUCGCCCCUGGCUUAG
rnacentral:rRNA from 1 species